rnacentral:lncRNA from 1 species
UCCUUGGAUGUACAUCUACUGCUACCGAGGUCACCAUGGCAGUACCACUCAGCCCCAGUCCAGGGGCUGAAGUGAAUGUUGUGGAGUUCAAGGAGUAUAAGUGCUCUUGGGUGGGAGAGAAUAAACUGCAAUUUGAAGACUGCAGAUCAAGUUCUGUUAGACCUGAAGCAGCUCUCGGCUCUCUGGACACCAAAGUGCAGAAACGUGGACCUCAAGAUACCCGGAACCAAGAGGAAGUGGCGCAUGAGGCAGUUUCCACCUGGUGAGUGUGAGGGUCACGGGCUGUGGAGGCAGAGGUGGCCUGUGAGAUCUCAGGUGCAGGGAAAAGCGGGAAGUGCUCAGUUUCCCUACUUGAUCUAUUCUGCCAAGCUGGAAUUGAACUCUCUUGAGAGUUUGUUUUUGUCUUGGAUCGUACCUCCCCUUACUUUGCAGGAUUGCUCACCUGCAGUCCCUGUCACCCACGGUGAACUACGCUCGGGUUUCCCUGCACUCAGGGCAAGGCAGCUCAACACUCUCCUGUGGGAGGCCAUUGAGCGAGGAGACACUCCCCCUCUUUGUGCAGUUUGGCCUUCGUUUGGUGGUGGGGAUUCCACAGCACAAAUUGGACCCAAACCAAAAAGCAAAUCGUAUGCAAUUGCAGUAUGGAAAGGACAGGCUCGGCAGACCCGGGAUCACUGGGCUUCAGCAGUUCCUCAGGUCCCUUUGUUCCCAGGUGCCCUGCAAGUAACAUGGAGCCCAGUGCUCUGAUGUUGGAGCACCUGGAUGCUUCAUUGUAUGUGCCACACACCUGCUCACACUGAGCUGUGUGUACCCCUCCAGGCCCUUUAUGGAAAUCUUUUGAGUAGGGACCCUGGGAAUUUGCUGAUGUGUGCAGGCUGCUGGGCCUUUCCUGGGAUCCUCCUGCCUCAGCACUCUUGACUGCUCCAGCAUGCCUACUGUGUGUCCUGUGGCCUCUCUUUUGGGGUCCAGGGUGGACCAGGGGAUAGCUGUGAAGGCCAGUCCUUCCUGGUUACCAUGCUGUUGUCCUUACAGGUACCUGGAGGGCGGAGACAGUGCCACCAAUUGCCAGUCACACAGUGUAGAUGAAAGUUAUUUGACCUUUCCCACCUUGGGGGACUUCUCAUUGUUCCCCGAGCCUGCCUGCAGCCCGGCCUUCCCAGGUGAGGAGCACUGGGUUCCCUCUUUCCUGGGUGAGGCCAGUUGAGUGGGCCCCCUGGGGAGAGAUUCGGGCUCAUUCUCUUUCCUAGUUAGUGUGUGUCUGCAGCAUAGGAGAAUGACAUCACCCUUGGGGAUUUGGAGCGUGUCCAUACCCCGUUUGGAUCCUUUGUGCUUUCCUGGACCCACCACCACGCUCUCCCUUCCUGGUCCUUGGGCCUCCCUUGCCACUUCGGACUCUACCUCCCUAUUUCCAGUCAUCUGUCUUUUCUUUGGCUGUCGAAACUAUUUUUCCUUUGGGUGNNNNNNNNNNNNNNNNNNNNNNNNNNNNNNNNNNNNNNNNNNNNNNNNNNNNNNNNNNNNNNNNNNNNNNNNNNNNNNNNNNNNNNNNNNNNNNNNNNNNNNNNNNNNNNNNNNNNNUUCAGCAGUAUUCCUUGUGUACAUUUACCACCUUUUCAUUGUCUGUUCAUCUUUGACGGGCAUAUGGACCACUUCCAUAUUUUACCUAUCUGUAACGCUUGUGCUAGCACAAGUGUCUCAGUUUACUUUCUGUUUGCUUGAGCCAAAUCUCUGACACAAAUGAAAGGAGGAAAGGUUUAUUUUGACUGACAUUUUUUUUUUCAAAAUUCACAUUUUAUUUAGAUUGAAAUAAACUAUACAAAAUUUUCUUCACCAAAAAUAACAGCAGUUAUUUUCUGUAUUAUUUCUGUAUAAACCAGAAAACAUUCAUUUUGUAUGUUUUCAGUUUUGCUUAUAAAUCAAGAUGAGGCAGUAGAUACGAGUCAUGGAAAAGACAAGAAAAGUUACAAGUCUGUUGCCUGUAUAGAUGGCCUGUGAUUCUGCCUUGACAAUGAAGCAGAAGUGUUCAACAUUUACCUGCUAAGAAGCUUAUGAAGAUGGAGGUUCCACAAAGGAAUAUAAACAACAAUAACCAGAUGUGGAAUAACCAUGGCAAGCUUUUCCAUUCAAGCUUUUCCUGUAACCUCUUCUUUUAAGCUCAUUUAAUAAAGGCAAAGUCUGCAUUGAAAUCUGGUAGGCUCAUAAACUUCUCUUUAAUAAUUCCCUUCACUUCCCAUUAGAUUUUUAAUACCAUACUUAAAGCUCCUCCUAAUCACAGAUCAAUGAUGGCCUUUACCAUAACAUUUUAUUUUUUUAUUUUUUUAUUUUUUAUUAAAUUCUUUUAUUGGUACAUUGUAGGUAUACAACACAAUUACAUUUCUCAUUGGGAAUUGUAUCUUUACAUAAUGCAUCUUGGUUCUUAUUUUUUCCCCAUUCCUAGCCCUCCCUUCACACCCUCCACCCUUCCCUAUUUACAAAGACUUUAUUUCCAUUUUCUCCAUUUCUCAUCAUUUUUCCUUUCCCUUCUUUCCUUUCCCCUGCCCCUCCC